rnacentral:lncRNA from 1 species
UUUUGGUAGAAACAGGUUCUCACUAUGUUGCCCAAGCUGGUCCUGAACCCCUAGCCUCAAGUAAUCCUCCUGCCUCAACCUACCAAAGCAUUGGUAUUACAAGUUUGACCCACCGUGAUCAGUCCAGGGUAGGAAAUGGAAUCUUAACAACUAUCACAUGAACUUUGAGGGGAUCCUUCUCUGGAUGAGCCUUCAGUUGAGACCUCAGCCUUGGACAUCAUCUACAUCUGGAUUCCUGACCCAGAGCAACUGCUUAGUUUUCUAAAGAUAAUUCUGCCGUCAAGCCCUGUUGGAAUUCUGUGAUAAUUUCUUUUCACUCCACGUUCUCCAUCAGGAAUUUUAUGGAACCUUGUAUUCUGUUGAGUAACAGAAUUAUAUCAGCAAUCCCAAAGUCACCAAAUGGGCAUCAUCAUGACAGCAGAUCACCCAAUUGGCGUGCAUUUCCAGGAAUGCAUAUAUGGAAUCAGAAUAAAUCUUUACUCCCAUUUCCUGGGACAGUUCUAAAGACUCAG